GCGGCUGUAGCUCAGUUGGAUAGAGCAUCGGCCUUCUAAGCCGACGGUCGGGGGUUCGAUUCCUCCCAGCCGCGCCA
rnacentral:tRNA from 1 species